rfam:Myotis brandtii contig226749, whole genome shotgun sequence.
GGCGGUUCUCGGAUGACGCACCCCGAAUCCGGCUCCCUCCUCUCUGGUUCCGGCUGCAUAACCGGAGAACCGCA